rnacentral:lncRNA from 1 species
GACGAAGCCCAACCAGCUCUUUCAUAGAAGGGUUCUCUCUAAGUCCUCUGCCAUAUCCAGUUCUGCUAAUUCUUGCAGUAAUCUCAAUCUUUUUUGGCAUAUCCUGGUACUCAUCCCAUGACUCAGUUGUGGAAGAAGCUGAAACGCAAUUCAGUUGGCUGCUUUUGUUUACAGCAAUAGCACUUCUGCUUCUUGUUAAGUUGCUGUCUUUUCUGGAUCCUGAUUGGUUCUUCUCCUUGUUUCCAUGGGGAAGCCGCAGGAUAGCCUACCAUGAACCUUCAGAGGGAAGCUCACCAUGGGGUGUUGCUGCUUUCAUUGUGCUCCUGCUAGUUUUGCUGCAAUACCAGUCUAUUUUCCGGGACAGCUGGCUCAUUAAAAAAUAAAAAAUAAAAAAUAAAAAAAGGUUGUGUGUAUAUGUAGUAGUUGUUGUAUAUAAUGGAAUAUGAUCUUCUACUUUAUAAUUUCUGUACUGAUAUUGUGAAAUAGAUUAUACUCGUGUUUUAUUUUCAUAUCAAGAGCCAUAUGUUGAGUUGAAAUUGAAUCUUCAAUGAUUUUCCAUGUGGGUUUUGAAUCCUCUAUUUGAUGUUUCUUUUUUCCUAGUGGUUUCAUUAGGCUAAUUUGAUUGCUUGGAAGUAAUAAUUCUAUUAUGGAGUUACAAUAGUAUUUCAGUUACAAUAGUUAAUCCUACUAAUGAUAGGAAAUGGUCAGUUGUCAGUUACGUUGUUAUUGGGCCAUAACUCCAUAUUUAUGUUUGUGAUAAUGACUUGUUGUAAUUGUAGAUUAUUCUCUACAGACUUUAUAUAUAUUGUAUAAUAAUCAUAUGAAUAAUAUUUAUGGAAAAUCAGUUUCUUCAUGGUAUCAGAGCUAAUGGCUAACGCUGACUAGCGAUCCUCCAGUUGCCAACAUUGAGAGUCGUUGGCGCUCCUCACUCUUCACCCAUAAGGGUGUUUGUAUGUAUAGUGUUUUUUCCUUUCUUCUUCUCAAAGAUGAAUAUGUUUUUUCUUUCCACCUUAGCUGUAGCCGCACCUUUAUUUUACCACUACAACCCUUUCUUCUGUUAGCUCGUUAUUUUUGUGUCUUCGCUGCGCCGUCUUCAUUGUGGACCGUCUCCUCCAUUGAGCUCUCUCGUGGCAACCCAUGGCAGCUCCAUUUAUGUCCCUUGGCCAUGAUGGCGAGAUUUCUGUUUCCUCUGCUAGCCUUGUCACCGCUCACCGAGUCUUCUCCUCGCCGGCUUUUAUCUCUCUCAUGUCAUGCUAUCCUGCCGUUGUUGUUCUCUUACACAGCCACUGCCUGUCCCUCUUUUGGCUCGCUAGCCCCUUGUUAUCCAUCAAUGUUGGGCCACUGCUCUCUGUUGAAACCGAGCAAAAAAAAAAAAACUUUUCCUUUCCCUCAAAGAUCACACCUCUCUAUCGUUGGUUUCUCCACUUGAAAUCUCUCUCCACUUCUUCGUCUCUCUCGCCGAGCUAUCUCUCUUCCCUCCACGAGCCUUAUCCUAGUCUGCAAUCGUGGGUUCUCUCUCUCAUGUAUUUCUGAUGGUUUCUCUAUCGUGGUUUCCAUACUUUCCCUUUGUUUGUUGAUGCUGCCUGUCAUCGCUCAUCGAGUAGUCUCUUUUUCUCCGCGAGCCUCGUCAACGCUUGCCGAGCCUUAAUGUCCAAAGCUACAAGUUACACAAACUUGAGAUUCAAGCUAAGUGGUCAUUGUAACUUCUAGAUAUAUAAAUUCUUUAAAAAUGUUUUUAUUACCAAAGCUAUUCUUAUUGAUUCACUAUUGUUUUAACAUUUGUAAAGUCUUAAAGAUUUAUUUGUUUCUUUUCUUACUUUUGAUUGCCAAAGAAAAUUCGUAGUCUCCGAUCAAAAGUAAUAUAUACCAAGGUAUAUCGAGAGGUCUAAGAAGAAAAAGAUAACUCUUUGUAAACCCUAGCAUCUCCCUUCUCUCUCAACCCUUUUUGCGAUGUGUGUUCUUGGAGGGAGGAAGAAGGCCACUCCUCCUCUCUCCCUCUCUCCCCCCUUAGAGCAUCACUAGUGGUUGGGUGUAUAAUGGGGUAUAUAGCACAUUUACACCUCAUUUGACCAUAAUCAACUGCAAUGCAAGGAUGUAUCCCGCUGCAAAUAUAGCAAGCCACUGUGAGAUGAGAAAAUAGAUGGAAGUGUCCAUCUUUUUUUUUAUAUAUAGAAAUUUAGUUAUAUACCCAAUCUUAGACAUAGUCUUAUAAAGAAACCCUAUAUCAUUUAAAAACUAUAGCUAUCAAAUUUUUUAAUUUAAUAGUUACUUUUUAGUUUAUUUUUGUGUGUUAAAUACCUAUAUUGUCCUUGUACUAUGGAUUUGAGAGAGGAAUAUCAAAUCUGCCAAAAAACUAAAUUUUCCAUAAAACCAAAUAUGCCCAGAUCUGCCAAAAAAACCAAAUUUGCCAAAAAAACCAAAUUAGAUUUAUUUUCUCCUUUCUUGCUGGUGUUGGAGCAAAAUGAGCUUCCAUUGAAGCUCAGUCUCAGGUCCAACUAUAUUCUUCAUCUUUAAUAUACAAUUUUCAAUAUUUCCCCUUCGAUUUUUUGUUCUAAAAUUGUGCUUCUAUAGAUUUUUUUUUUCCGGAUUGUUCAAGACCUCAAACAAACCUUGAUCAGAUGCUCUUAGCUCUACUCCUCAUCUUCGAGCUCUACUCCUCUUUCGCCACAUCAUCGUUGUCGUUGUCGUUGUCGUCGUCGUCGUCGUCGUCGUUUGGUUUGGACUUGAGAUUUUUGAUCUUUUGCUUCAAUUAUGUGUUUCUCUUCGGGUUUUAGUUGAUUUUCGAAAUGUAUUUUAAGCUUUGAUGAUCGAUUUAUCUUUUGUUACUAUUUCAGUUAUGAAUCUCAUUUUUGUUUAACAAUGUAAUUCUAUGACAGAGUAUUAACAAUAUACUUCUAUGACAUAAUAUUAUUAACAAUCUGGGCUCGGCUUGUUUUGAGUUGGUCUGGUUUGUUCUUUCUUCAUCUUUUCUUUGGUGGACAUGUAUUAAAAAUAGCAACAAUCAACAUGACAGUAAACUAGCAGUGUUAUUACCCUAAACUGGAACAUUACAGGGGUAAACAUGCAUUAUAAAUAGGAUGUCAUAGGAAAUAGCAGUGUUAUUACCUUAGACUAGAACAUUACAAUGGUAGAUAUGCAUUAGAAAUAGAAUGUCAUAGGAAACUAGCAGUGUUAUUACCCUAUACUGGAACAUUACAAGAGUACACAUGCAUUAGAAAUAGGAUGUCAUCUGAAACUAGUAUUGUUAUUACCCUAAACUGGAACAUUACAACCAUUAAUCAACAUGACAGUAAACUAGCAAUGUCAUUACCCUAGAUUGGAACAUUACAGCAAUUAAUUAACAUGACAGUAAACUAGCAAUGUUAUUACCCUAGACUGGAUCAUUACAGGGGUAGACAUACAUUAGAAAUAAGAUAUCAUAGGAAACUAGCAGUGUUAUUACCCUAGACUAGAACAUUACAGGGUAAACAUGCAUUAGAAAUAGGAUGUCAUAGGAAAUUAGCAGUGUUAUUACCCUAGACUGAAACAUUACAACCAUUAAUCAACAUGAUAGAAUAGUGAACAUUACAACAAUUAAUCAACAUGACAAUAAAGGUGUGGAACAUUACAGUCAUUAAUUAACAUGACACGUUAAUGAAGCUACGAUUUUCAAGACGUUUUGUUUGUAAUAAAUUAUUUGGGUGUUUUUUUUAUAAAAUUGGGCUGGGCUUGUUUUGGGUGCUAUUUAAGUUUUUUGUGUUGGGUUUCUUUUUAAGUUGAUCAAUGACAGUCAUGUAAUUUAUAAGAACUUAAACACUAAUUUCUUAUGUAGUAAAUGAGUUUUGGGUGUGUUUCUAAAGUGCAUUUCAUGUGAGUUUUUUUAUUUAUAAUUUCAGCCCCUAUUUUGGGUAUAUUAGUGAAGCUCCUUUUUUUUUUUUUUUUUUUUAUAUAUAUCCAGCUAAAUGGGCCCCGUUGUUGAAAAAGCAUGAGAGAGAAUAAGCUUUCAGCGUGGAAAAAUGGGAGAAGCAGAAGAAAAUGUGAUGUGACAUCAAUGCACUAAUGGGGGUUGUAUGAUCCAACGGUGCUGGUGCUUCCAUAUUUGAUUCUAACGGUGCUGAUGCUUCCAUCUUCUGAUUUGCAUCUCCACCCAAUGGAGUAAAAAACACAUUCACACGUCCCGAAUGUGUAAAGGGGAUGUAAAGGUAACUUUAUACCUUCGAAAAUUCACCAUUUCACAGGUGAUGCUCUUAUCUCUCUAUUUAUUUUUCCCAUUCCCCAUAUAUUGGAUUUGAGGUUUUAAUUGUGGGGAGAUUAUUUGUGCCUAGAUCUAUUUUGGAUCUUGGUUUUUUACCCAGAUCUACUUGGAUCUGUAGUUUUGUUGGUUGGUUUUUCGUUGUACGGUGAGUGACUGCUAUCUAGGUGGUGUUCUCUGUCUCAAAGGCGGUAAUGAUGGUUAUGGUGGCGAAGGCAACAACGGUGGUGGUGGCUCAAUUAGUUUUUGGUUAUUGUUUUCUUAUAUUUUGUAAUAAUUGCAUAAACUCUUUGUGAGUUGGGUGUUUGAUUGUUUUCUAGUAUCUACUUGUGUUUUGUACUUGUGAGAAUUUAAAAGUUGUAGUUGUAUUAAAAGAUUUGGGCAAUGUAAUUCAUGUCUGAUUUGUUCAGGCAUGCGAUUUUUAUGUCGAAAUUUCUUUGCCCUUUUGUGGUUACUAUGCUUCCAUAUUUGUAUUAUCCCCUUGCGCAUAUUUGCCCUUAUAAUUGAUGAUAUUUAUCCCUAAUUUAUAAAUACAAUUAUCACUUUUCUCUAUUUAAAAAAAAAAAACUAUAACCUAGUGUUGGAACAUGUGGUUUCGAUUCAGCUUUAAAACUUAAAUAAAAUCUUUCAGUAUUGAAAAUAAAACCUUGUUUCCAUAAAUGGAUCCAUUAAACAAAGUUAUUUAAAGGGAUGUACAUUAUAGAGUUCAAUAUUUCAAACACAUAUGUUAAAUAAAAAGCUACUAAGAAAUUCCUAGUUAUGAAAAACAAAAACAAAACAAUUUAAAUGGUCAAAAGUUUUUGUUUUUCCAAUUUUGCAGAAGAGAUGGUAAAACUUAAAAUAUUUUUUGCCAAUCACUGGAUUUUUAUCUUAGAAUCUUAAAAGUAUCCUCCGUUUUUUUAUUUUUUAUUUAUUUUAAAGAACUAAGUUACAUUUCUUUUUGGCCGGUGUAGAUAUCUUAUUAAGAGCUCUUCUUCGAAAAUCUUAUCUUCUGUGCCUUCUUUUUCUUGUGGCCCCACCCAUGCAUCACACCUCCUCCAUUCCAUUGCAUAAAUGAAACCCCACAAAGACAUUAAGCAAUAAAAAUCCAAGCAAAUAAGAUUAAUUUAUUAGUUGGCUUGUAAAAAGUAAAGCAGACACUUCCUGUUUUUUGGCUAUAAAAACACAAGCCCUUCAAUGCCUAACAACCUCUUGAGCUUGUCCAUUUGAGCACUAAACCUCUCUUCAUGGCCUAUGGAAGAAGCCAAACCAGCUCUUUCCUAGAAGGGUUCUCUCUAAGUCCUCUGCCAUAUCCAGUUCUGCUAAUUCUUGCAGUAAUCUCAAUCUUUCUUGGCAUAUCCUGGUACUCAUCCUAUGACUCAGUUGUGGAAGAAGCUGAAACGCAAUUCAAUUGGUUGCUUUUUGUUACACCAAUAGCACUUCUGCUUCUUGUUAAGUUGCUGUCUUCUAUGGAUCCUGAUUGGCUCUUCUCCAUGUCUCCACUGGGAAAC